AGCCGGAACCUAAGGUGAGGCCGAAAGGCGUAAUCGAUGGCGAGCAGGUUAAUAUUCCUGCGCCACUUCACGGUGAUGUGAUGGAGGGACAGGGCUCUUAAGGUCUACCCACUGUUGGAAUAGUGGGAUCAAGCCCGAGGGUGGGUCGUAGGGAAAUCCGCGACCGUAAUCCCGGAGGUGAUGACGAGGCCAUUUGUGCUGAAGUGACUGUCGGAGCUCUCAAGAAAAUCUUCUAAGCGUUCGAGCCGUGGGGUGUCCGUACUGAAAACUGACACAGGUGGGCGAGGAGAGUAUCCUAAGGCGCUCGAGAGAACCUUCGUUAAGGAACUCGGCAAAUUUGCCCCGUAACUUCGGGAUAAGGGGUGCUCAAUCUGGUGAAGAGCUUCGCGCUCGGAGCUGGAAUGAGUCACAGUAAAUCGGCCCAUGGAACUGUUUAUCAAAAACACAGCUCUGUGCUAAGGCUUAAAGCCUACGUAUACAGUGCGACGCUUGCCCGCUGUCGGUAGGUUAAGGGGAAGGGUCAAAGGACUUCGGUCCUUGAAGCUCAUAACCGAAGCCCCGAUGAAGGGCGGCCGUAACUAUGACGGUCCUAAGGUAGCGAAAUUCCUUGUCGGGUAGUUCCGACCCGCAUGAAUAGCGUAAUAACAUGGGCUCUGUCUCAACGAAGGACUCGGCGAAACUUAACUCGAGGUGAAGAUGCCUCGUCCCCGCGGGUAGGCGGAAAGACCCUAUGGACCUUUACUGUAGCAUACUAUUGGGUUUAGAUAUAUUCUGUGUAGAAUAGGUGGGAGGCUUCGAAGCCCGGGCGCCAGCUCGGGCGGAGCCGUAAGUGAAAUACCACUCUCUGUAUAUUUGGACUCUAACCGGGUGCCAUGAAUCCGGGCCUGGAACAGUGGUAUGAGGGCAGUUUGACUGGGGCGGUCUCCUCCUAAAGAGUAACGGAGGAGCGCAAAGGUACCCUCAGCACGGUUGGCAAUCGUGCGAAGAGCGCAAAGGUAGAAGGGUGCUUGACUGCGAGUCAUACAAGACGAGCAGAUGCGAAAGCAGGCCUUAGUGAUCCGGUGGUUGCGUGUGGAAGCGCCAUCGCUCAACGGAUAAAAGGUACUCUAGGGAUAACAGGCUUAUCUCCCCCAAGAGUCCAUAUCGACGGGGAGGUUUGGCACCUCGAUGUCGGCCCGUCGCAUCCUGGGGCUGUAGCAGGUCCCAAGGGUUUGGCUGUUCGCCAAUUAAAGCGGCACGCGAGCUGGGUUCAGACCGACGUGAGUCAGGUCGGUCCCUACCUUCCGUGGGUGUAGGAGAUUUGUGGGAUUCUUUCCCUAGUACGAGAGGAUUGGGAAGGACAGACCUCUGGUGUUCCUGUUGUCACGCCAGUGGCAGCGCAGGGUAGCUACGUCUGGUUAAGAUAAGCGCUGAAGGCAUAUAAGCGCGAAGCUAUUCCCGAAACUAGAUCUCCCUGGACUUCGGUCCCUGAAGGGUCGUGGAAGACUACCACGUUGAUAGGCCGGGUGUGUAAGCGCAGCGAUGCGUUGAGCUGACCGGUACUAAUCGCCCGUGAGGCUUCGGCC
rnacentral:rRNA from 1 species